ACUCAGAGGUCCUUCCCAUGAGAAAAAAAAUUGCGAGAAGUGAGCAAUCUUUUGACUAUGAGUCAAGCACGAAAGGCGCGAUAAACUGGUGUUAACGCAUAUGCGCGCGCACAGGCCUCUCGACGCAUUAUUUGAUAUAUGAUGGGUCGUAGACCUGUCAACAGAGAAGAGAGAAAAGAACGAAGCGGUCAAGAUGAAAGAGAAAUCCCAUGACCAAAACCGA
ensembl:ncRNA C09D8.15 ncRNA